AGUGAACGCUGGCGGUAUGCCUAACACAUGCAAGUCGAACGGCAGCACAAGAAGAUCGUUCUCUUACGGGUAGCGAGGGGCGGGCGAGUGAGGAAUACAUAGGAUUCUACUUUUUCUUGAAUGAUAACGGAGGGAAACGGACGAUGAUACCUAAUACUAAGUACCGGUUAAUGCAAAAGAGCUUCAUACCUUUCGCAAUACAAUUAGCCGAUGUCGGAUUAGCUAGUUGGUUGGGUAAGGGCCCACCAAGGCGACGAUCCGUAGCUGAGCUGAGAGGAUGAUCGGCCACACUGGAACUGAGACACGGUCCAGACUCCUACGGGAGGCAGCAGUGGGGAAUCUUGCACAAUGGGCGAAAGCCUGACCGAGCAAUACCGCGUGAGUGAAGAAGGUCUUCGGGUUGUAAAGCUCUUUUGUUAGGAAAGAAAAGAAGCAGGUGAAUCUCCCGAUGUUUUGACGGUACCCAAAGAAUAAGCCACGGCUAACUUCGUG
rnacentral:rRNA from 1 species